GGGGAAGUGAGAAGAUGGGGCCAGUUCCCUACUUCAGCCUCUGCCUCCUCGGCUGCCUGAUCUUUAGCCCCUCGCUGGCAGCCCCCUCUCUCUCAGCAGAGACACAGGCUAUGUCGUGUCCCGCAGGCUGGUUCUCCUUCCAUGACACCUGCUAUCGAUUUUUUCCC